rnacentral:rRNA from 1 species
AUCCACUCGUCCAAGCACAAUUGCAUAGACAGAACCUUUGGAGUGUGGAAGAUGAAUUGGCGGAUUCCACUCAAGAUGCCAAGCUACACCGAAACCCAAAAGAUUGUUAUUGCUGCUACUAUAACAUUGCACAAUUAUGUCCGCUUUCAUGAUGAAGAAGACAUUCACUUUGUUCGGUGUGACAGGGACCCGGACUAUGUGCCAACAAUUGCAGAAUGAUACAAGAAAUACAUUGUUCCUCCAAAUGCAUCAGAUACAUUGACUAUAGAUGAUAAUGCUACAUACAUGGAUGUGAACUUUAAGUCUAAAAUUGGACAGUGCAACUUCUUUGAGAGCGAGAGCGAGAGCGCCUCCUCCCCCAAGCCCACGCCGCUGGCUGCUCCGGCCGUGGCGGCCACCAGCCGCAGCUGCCCCCAUCCCCUGGGCAGCCGCCCCCCUCCAUGCCCUCCCCCGCCUCUUCCCGGGAUCCCGAGUCGCCACCGGCCGGUCUUCAAUGCCUCUCCCCUGCAGGUCUGGAUCCGUCCAUCGGGCCAUCCGAGGUGGCUGCCACCCCCUCCCCCUUGGUCGCGCGGGGGGAGGGCUCACUGA